rnacentral:rRNA from 1 species
AUUGAACGCUGGCGGCAUGCCUUACACAUGCAAGUCGAACGGCAGCACGGGAGCAAUCCUGGUGGCGAGUGGCGAACGGGUGAGUAAUAUAUCGGAACGUGCCCAGUCGUGGGGAUAACGUAGCGAAAGCUACGCUAAUACCGCAUACGAUCUAUGGAUGAAAGCGGGGGAUCGCAAGACCUCGCGCGAUUGGAGCGGCCGAUAUCAGAUUAGGUAGUUGGUGAGGUAAAGGCUCGCCAAGCCGACGAUCUGUAGCUGGUCUGAGAGGACGACCAGCCACACUGGGACUGAGACGACGGCCCAGACUCCUACGGGAGGCAGCGAGUGGGGAAUUUUGGACAAUGGGCGCAAGCCUGAUCCAGCAAUGCCGCGUGCAGGAUGAAGG